rnacentral:rRNA from 1 species
GAUGAACGCUGGCGGCGUGCCUAACACAUGCAAGUCGAACGGGGAUAUACUUUCGGGUAUAUUCUGGUGGCGAACGGGUGAGUAACACGUGGAUAACCUGAUUUUUCGAGGGGGAUAACGGUGAGAAAUCAUCGCUAAUACCGCGUAAGCUGGUUUGUACGCAUGUACGAACUAGGAUAGGAUUUAUUCGAGAGAAGAGGGGUCCGCGGCUGAUUAGCUAGUUGGAGGGGUAAAGGCGGACCAAGGCAACGAUCAGUAGCCGGUCUGAGAGGGCGAACGGCCACAUUGGGACUGAGACACGGCCCAAACUCCUACGGGGGGCGGCAGUGGGGAAUAUUGCACAAUGGGGGAAACCCUGAUGCAGCAACGCGGCGUGAAGGAAGAAGGCUUUCGGGUUGUAAACUUCUAUCGAUGGGGACGAAAAAAUGACGGUACCCAAGUAAGAAGCCCCGGCUAACUACGCGCCAGCCGCCGCUGUAAAAC